ACGCUGGCGGCGUGCCUAAUACAUGCAAGUCGAACGAAGAUUGAUUGGAGCUUGCUCCUUUCAAUCUUAGUGGCGAACGGGUGAGUAAUACAUAAGCAACCUGCCUUAAUGUCUGGAAUAACAGAUGGAAACGUCUGCUAAUACCGGAUAAUAAUCUUGAAGACAUCUUCUUGAUUUAAAAGUUGGGAUACAACACAUUGAGAUGGGCUUAUGGCGCAUUAGCUAGUUGGUGAGAUAAAAGCUCACCAAGGCGAUGAUGCGUAGCCGACCUGAGAGGGUGACCGGCCACACUGGGACUGAGACACGGCCCAGACUCCUACGGGAGGCAGCAGUAGGGAAUUUUCGGCAAUGGGGGCAACCCUGACCGAGCGACGCCGCGUGAGUGAAGAAGGCCUUCGGGUUGUAAAGCUCUGUUGUAAGGGAAGAACCGUAUGGGAAAGGAAUAGCCCAUACCUGACGGUACCUUACCAGAAAGCCACGGCUAACUACGUGCCAGCAGCCGCGGUAAUACGUAGGUGGCAAGCGUUAUCCGGAAUUAUUGGGCGUAAAGGGAGCGUAGGCUGUCUAUUAAGUUUGUGGUUAAAGUUCGGGGCUCAACCCCGUCCUGCCAUAGAAACUGAUAGACUUGAGUACAGAAGAGGUUAGUGGAAUUCCAUGUGUAGCGGUAAAAUGCGUAGAUAUAUGGAGGAACACCAGUGGCGAAGGCGACUAACUGGUCUGUAUCUGACGCUGAGGCUCGAAAGCGUGGGGAGCAAAUAGGAUUAGAUACCCUAGUAGUCCACGCUGUAAACGAUGGAUACUAAAUGUUGGGUAGAACCCAGUGUUGUAGUUAACGCACUAAGUAUCCCGCCUGGGGAGUAUGCGCGCAAGCGUAAAACUCAAAGGAAUUGACGGGGGCCCGCACAAGCGGUGGAGUAUGUGGUUUAAUUCGAAGCAACGCGAAGAACCUUACCAGAUCUUGACAUAUAGUUAAAAAGCAUCGAGGGAUGUAAUAGGUAUAGCUAUACAGGUGGUGCAUGGUUGUCGUCAGCUCGUGUCGUGAGAUGUUGGGUUAAGUCCCGUAACGAGCGCAACCCUUGUCUUUAGUUACCAGCAUUCAGUUGGGGACUCUAGAGAUACUGCCGGUGAUAAACCGGAGGAAGGUGGGGAUGACGUCAAAUCAUCAUGCCCCUUAUGAUCUGGGCUACACACGUACUACAAUGGCAUAUACAGAGGGCAGCUAGACAGCAAUGUCAUGCGAAUCUCUUAAAGUAUGACUCAGUUCGGAUUGGAGUCUGCAACUCGACUCCAUGAAGGCGGAAUCGCUAGUAAUCGCGGAUCAGCAUGCCGCGGUGAAUACGUUCUCGGGCCUUGUACACACCGCCCGUCAAACCAUGAGAGUUGGUAAUACCCGAAGCCGAUGGUCCAACCAGUUUAUUCUGGGGGAAAUCGUCGAAGGUAGGACCAAU
rnacentral:rRNA from 1 species